rnacentral:rRNA from 1 species
AACGAACGCUGGCGGCAUGCCUAACACAUGCAAGUCGAACGAGACCUUCGGGUCUAGUUGCGCACGGGUGCGUAACGCGUGGGAACCUGCCCUUAGGUUCGGAAUAACUCCCCGAAAGGGGUGCUAAUACCGGAUAAUGUCUUCGGACCAAAGAUUUCUCGCCUUUGGAUGGGCCCGCGUUGGAUUAGCUAGUUGGUAGGGUAAAAGCCUACCAAGGCGACGAUCCAUAGCUGGUCUGAGAGGAUGAUCAGCCACACUGGGACUGAGACACGGCCCAGACUCCUACGGGAGGGAGGAGUGGGGAAUAUAGGACAAGGGGCGAAAGCCUGAUCCAGCAAUGCCGGGUGAGUGAUGAAGGGCUUAGGGAUGUAAAGCUCUUUUACCCGGGAUGAUAAUGACAGUACCGGGAGAAUAAGCUCCGGCUAACUCCGUG